rnacentral:rRNA from 1 species
GACGAACGCUGGCGGCGUGCCUAACACAUGCAAGUCGAACGGUAAGGCCCUUCGGGGUACACGAGUGGCGAACGGGUGAGUAGCACGUGGGUGAUCUGCCCUGCACUUCGGGAUAAGCCUGGGAAACUGGGUCUAAUACCGGAUAGGACCACUGCCUGCAUGGGUGGUGGUGGAAAGCUUUUGCGGUGUGGGAUGGGCCCGCGGCCUAUCAGCUUGUUGGUGGGGUGAUGGCCUACCAAGGCGACGACGGGUAGCCGGCCUGAGAGGGUGACCGGCCACACUGGGACUGAGAUACGGCCCAGACUCCUACGGGAGGCAGCAGUGGGGAAUAUUGCACAAUGGGCGCAAGCCUGAUGCAGCGACGCCGCGUGAGGGAUGACGGCCUUCGGGUUGUAAACCUCUUUCAGCACCGACGAAGCGCAAGUGACGGUAGGUGCAGAAGAAGGACCGGCCAACUACGUGCCAGCAGCCGCCGCAG